rnacentral:rRNA from 1 species
UACGUAGGUGGCAAGCGUUAUCCGGAAUUAUUGGGCGUAAAGAGCGCGCAGGUGGUUGAUUAAAUCUGAUGUGAAAGCCCACGGCUUAACCGUGGAGGGUCAUUGGAAACUGGUCGACUUGAGUGCAGAAGAGGGAAGUGGAAUUCCAUGUGUAGCGGUGAAAUGCGUAGAGAUAUGGAGGAACACCAGUGGCGAAGGCGGCUUCCUGGUCUGUAACUGACACUGAGGCGCGAAAGCGUGGGGAGCAAACAGGGUUAGAUACCCGUGUA